AACCACCCAAACAGUGUUUCAUGAGGCGAUAAGGCUCUCUGCAUGCUUCCCCUGUUUGUUUUUCUCCUUCCGACUGCAAGACAACAUUCAGUAGCUGCGUUGCUGAAUGUGGAAAAACACAACAUGCAUCCUGUACUCUGCAUCUACCUUCUCCCGCUGGUGCUCGGGAGCGCGACUGGACAGUGCGAUGUCAGCGCUGACAGCGAUGAAUGCAAAAAACUCCAAGAAGUCUACUAUAGAAACAUUACCAAGAUCCCGGCCACACUGAAACCGGGGACCAUUCACGUUUAUUUCAUCGGGAGCAGGUUUUCCAACGUUCCGAACAGAGCCUUCAUCAACAGCCCUCAGCUGGAGACGGUGGACUUCAUGCAGAUGCCCAUCGUGUCCGUGGAAGCGCAUGCCUUCGAGGGUUUGCGUAAGCUGAAGCUCCUUGAAAUCACGACGACCAAUCUGACGUCGCUGCCCUUGGGCGUGUUUCAGGACCAGCCGAUGCUUGAGAAACUGGUCCUAAAGCUCAACAAAAUCCAGAAGCUUGUGAAGGGUCUGUUCGACGGCCUGAGAAUGUUGAAGGAGCUCCAGCUUCACACCAACCAAAUCGCCUCAAUCGACGAGGGAGUUUUCGAUCAGCUCGAUAACCUUACGGUUCUUCACCUGGCCAAGAAUAAGAUCACAUCCGUCUCCAGAGCGCUGUUUACAAAACUUAGUAAAUUACAAAGGCUCAGGCUCUACGAAAAUUACAUCACCACUAUUCCACCCGGGAUCUUUGAUGACCUACCGGAUCUGAAAGAGAUCGGCUUACGGGAUAACAAGAUAACUGAGAUACCACCAGAUUUAUUUUCCAACAACACCUUCUUGGAAUCAUUAAGUUUAGAUAGAAAUCGUUUGUCUGAAUUGCCCUCUGAAAUUUUUGUGGGACUUCCGAACAUGAAAUAUUUGACUCUUCAGCAGAAUCAAAUCCGCAGCCUGCCUCCCUUGCUCUUUGGAGAAAUGCCAAAAUUUUAUGAACUGAGUCUCAAAGGAAACAAUCUCACUGUCCUGCCUGCAGGUGUAUUCAGUCCCUUGAAGAAACUGAAGAAGCUUGACUUGUCUCUAAAUAAGUUUACCUCUUUGUCCAGUGACUAUUUUGAAGGGCUUGUGAAACUCACAGACUUGAAUCUACAGAAUAAUAUGAUUGAAUCAUUAGAACCAAAAACCUUUGAACAUUUAACAGACCUGCAUACCCUCAGGUUAGCAAAUAACAAAUUGAGAACUCUUCCUGAAGGAAUAUUUGACUCUUUACUUAAGUUUACCAGGGUAUAUCUCGACAACAACCCUUGGCACUGUGACUGCAAUCUGAUAUCUUUCUUUAACUGGAUGAAAGCUAACAGUAAAAAGAUUAAGUCUCUCUCAACAGAGCAGUGUGAAUCUCCUGACAGCUUGAAAGGACAAACUCUCAACUCUCUCACAGAAGAUCAGCUGAUAUGCCCAACAACUCCUACAAUCACCACAGCUUUGCCUCUUACCACAGGCGAUGAAUGCAAAAGAGACCAAGAAGUCUACGAUAGAGACUUUACCGAGAUUCUGGCCACACUGAAUCUGGGGACCAUUGCCGUUUAUUUCGUCGGGAGCAGGUUUUCCAACGUCCCGAACAGAGCCUUCAUCAACAGCCCUCAGCUGGAGACGGUGGAGUUCCUGCAGAUGCCCAUCGUGUCCGUGGAAAUGCACGCCUUCGAGGGUUUGCAUAAGCUGAAGCUUGUCGAAAUCUCGGCGACCAAUCUGACGUCGCUGCCCUUGGGCGUGUUUCAGGACCAGCCGAUGCUCGAGAAACUGAUCCUAAAGCUCAACAAAAUCCAGAAGCUUGAGAAGGGACUGUUCGACGGCCUGAGAAUGUUGAAGGAGCUCCACCUUCAGAUCAACCAAAUCGCCUCAAUCGACGAGGGAGUUUUCGAUCAGCUCGAUAACCUUACGGUUCUUCACCUGGGCAAGAAUAAGAUCACGUCCGUCUCCAGAGCGCUGUUUACAAAACUUAGUAAAUUACAAAGGCUCAGGCUCUACGAAAAUGACAUUGCCACUAUUCCACCUGGGAUCUUUGAUGAUCUACCGGAUCUGAAAGAGAUCAGCUUACAGGAUAACAAGAUAACUGAGAUACCACCAGAUUUAUUUUCCAAAAACACCUUCUUGGAAUCAUUAAAUUUAGAGAAAAAUCGUUUGUCUGAAUUGCCCUCUGAAAUUUUUGUGGGACUUCCGAACAUGACAUUUUUGACUCUUGAGCAGAAUGAAAUCCGCAGCCUGCCUCCCUUGCUCUUUGGAGAAAUGCCAAAAUGUCAUGAAGUGAGUCUCAGAGGAAACAAUCUCACUGUCCUGCCUGCAGGUGUAUUCAGUCCCUUGAAGAAACUCAAGAAGCUUGACUUGUCUCUAAAUAAGUUUACCUCUUUGUCCAGUGACUAUUUUGAAGGGCUUGUGAAACUCACAGACUUGAAUCUACAGAAUAAUAUGAUUGAAUCAUUAGAACCAAAAACCUUUGAACAUUUAACAGACCUGCAUACCCUCAGCUUAGCAAAUAACAAAUUGAGAACUCUUCCUGAAGGAAUAUUUGACUCUUUACUAGAGUUUAGCAGGGUAUAUCUCGACAACAACCCUUGGCACUGUGACUGCAAUCUGAUAUCUUUAUCUAACUGGAUGAAAGCUAACAGUAAAAAGAUUAAGUCUCUCUCAACAGAGCAGUGUGAAUCUCCUGACAGCUUGAAAGGACAAACUCUCAACUCUCUCACAGAAGAUCAGCUGAUAUGCCCAACAACACCUCAACUACAAUCUCUUACCACGGCAACCAGUGUUGGGGAAAAUUCACAGAACAAAAGAUCUCCCUCCUAAUAGCAUGAUAAACAAUCACAAGUCAAAAUCAGACUCAACCUUGAUGAGCAAGCUGGUUCCUCCAAAACUCUUAAUGAUUCAUUCCAGAAGUGUAUAUAUAUACACGACACCAGCACUACAGUUGCCAUGACAACAGAAGUACCCACAACAACAACCCAACCCACCAUGAUGCACACCACCCCGGCACCUACCACCAAAAUAACAACCAUGGUGCCGACAACUGCACCCACCACAAUGUUGACAACCACCUUGCCAACAACAGUUGCUAUGACAACUGCACCCACCACAAUGUUGACAACCACCUUGCCAACCACGCUAGCAACAACAACUGCACCCACCACAAUGUUGACAACCACCUUGCCAACAACAGUUGCUACGACAACUGCACCCACCACAAUGUUGACAACCACCUUGCCAACCACGCUAGCAACAACAACUGCACCCACCACAAUGUUGACAACCACAGUGCCAACAACGGUAGCUAUGACAACUGCACCCACAACAAUGUUGAAAACCACUGUGGCAACCACACCAGCAAUGACAACUGCACCCACCACAAUGUUGACAACCACAGUGCCAACAACAGUAGCUGUGACAACUGGGCCUACAACCACAGCCUUGGCGACUACUCCAACGACCACAGCCCUGAUCACAACCUUGGCCCCAACGACUGCAGCCAUCACCUCCGCUCUGCUCUUGGAAAAUGAGGAGGAUUUCAAUAUUAAUACAGUACACUACAUUUCGGUCCAAGGAACAUAUGUGUAACUGACCUUAAGAAUGUCUCUCUCCCGUCUCCCGUUCUGCAUCCCGUCUGCAAUUGUCUGCACUUGUCCGAGCUUGUACUGUAAGGUAGGCGGGGAGUUUGUGGUGUCAAUCACAUGCGGAAAGUUGUUAGUUAUUCUUCUUGCCCACAGGAGUACAUU